rnacentral:rRNA from 1 species
CAGUCGCCGCGGGAAUACGGAGGGUGCAAGCGUUAAUCGGAAUUACUGGGCGUAAAGCGUGCGUAGGCGGUUCGUUAAGUCUGUUGUGAAAGCCCCGGGCUCAACCUGGGAAUGGCAAUGGAUACUGGCGAGCUAGAGUGUGUCAGAGGAUGGUGGAAUUCCCGGUGUAGCGGUGAAAUGCGUAGAGAUCGGGAGGAACAUCAGUGGCGAAGGCGGCCACCUGGGACAACACUGACGCUGAGGCACGAAAGCGUGGGGAGCAAACAGGAUUAGAUACCCGUGUAGUCCCUGUCUCUUAUAC